AUACGUAGGGGACGAGCGUUGUCCGGAAUUACUGGGCGUAAAGGGCGCGCAGGCUGUGCUGCAAGUCAGCUGUUAAAUGUCUGGGCUUAACCCGGGCAUGCGGUUGAGACUGCGGUGCUGGAGUGCUGUAGAGGCAAGUGGAAUUCCCAGUGUAGCGGUGAAAUGCGUAGAUAUUGGUAAGACCACCGGUGGCGAACGCGAUUUACGCGCCCGCAACGGACGCUGAGCCGCGAAAGCCAGUGGAGCAUACUGGAUUAGAUACCCCGGUUGUCCUGGCCGUAAACGAUGAAUGCUAUGAUUUAGUGUAAAGAUACAUUCGUGCCGUAGUGAACGCGAUAAGCAUUCCGCCUGGGGAGUACGGUCACAAGAUUGAAACUCAAAGGAAUUGACGGGA
rnacentral:rRNA from 1 species